UUCUGCAGUUUUCUGAAGACAGGCUUGCUCUUUUAAGUGCCUGAAUGCAGUUUAGAUGGAUUUUGAGUGUUUAAUUGUACAACUGUCCUCUCUGCAAUAUGGAGCUUGUGGCACACUGUAACACACCAUCCAUUCACUAUCAUCCAGUGGCCCAGCUAGGAGCUCAGGGAGAAACAUUUGUGGUGGGUGCUUCUGAAAGGAAAGGCUUGGAGGCCCAUCUUCUAGCCUCCAACAAAAUAAUUUGUAUUUUUAAAAAUUUCCUGAUAAAUGAAACUUCGGCAUUACUAAAGACAACAUCAAUGUGCAUGAAACAAAAUUAAUUUUAAAUUGAACUGUUUUGAAAUGAAAAUAUUAUUUUUCAAUAAAGUCAGAAUAAAAUGCUUUGAAACUUU